UGCACUGCACAUCAGAACAGGGUACAGUCAACUUAAAGCCCCGUUUUCAACCGGGGUUUUUUGUUAUCUGCACUCUUGGGUUGGCUAUCCUAGAUAGUCGGGUGACAGGGCUUUAUAGCCCUUUUUUU
rfam:Ferrimonas balearica DSM 9799, complete genome.